rnacentral:rRNA from 1 species
CAGUAGCCGCGGUAAUACGUAGGGUGCGAGCGUUAAUCGGAACUACUGGGCGUAAAGCGUGCGCAGGCGGUUAUAUAAGACAGAUGUGAAAUCCCCGGGCUCAACCUGGGACCUGCAUUUGUGACUGUAUAGCUAGAGUACGGUAGAGGGGGAUGGAAUUCCGCGUGUAGCAGUGAAAUGCGUAGAUAUUCGGAGGAACACCGAUGGCGAAGGCAGCCCCCUGGGCCAAUACUGACGCUCAUGCACGAAAGCGUGGGGAGCAAACAGGAUUAGAUACCCCAGUAGUCCCUGUCUCUUAUAC